AGAGAAAGGAGAUUUUAACUCCUACCCUUAACUCCCAAAGCUAAGAUUCUAAAUUAAACUACCCUCUGACC
rnacentral:tRNA from 1 species